rnacentral:lncRNA from 1 species
AUACGAAGUCAGAUUUGGGCGUUCUUUUUAUCGAAGUUCUUAGUUUAACAUAUUCUACGACUUUCGUUUAGAGCGCUAAAUCUAAAUCUCGCUCUAUCAUAAAUUUACUAUUUACGCUUCCCGGCGCCGUGCCGGUUCCGACGCGAAACUUCGACGGGUCAUAACUUCUUCGUUAUAACUCGGAUUUCGGCGUUCUUUAUAUGUACGGAAACCCUGUGACAUAUUCUACAACUUGGUUAAGAUUAUUUAUUCUAAAUAAUCUUUUUGUCGAAAAGUCGUUUUCGACCCCUAUUGCCUCUAAAUUGACUAGCCCGGAUCUGCAGGCGUUACAAUUAUCUCCCCCUUUGGAUGAUUACGUCCCGGAAUCAUCAACGAAACAGGGUCAUAUAAUGACUCCAUACGUCAUCUCUUCAUCCUAGGUAAUAAUUAUAACUUCUACAUUCCUUCAAUUCUAUCUCUUAAACUCAUUGACUGUAAGAGUACUCGAUCGUGCACCUGCUCUCUACCUCAGGUUAGACUCCAAAUUAUGACCUUCAAGUCACAAUCUCGAUCCUUGCUGGAUACGGACUUGAGAUAAGUUCUUUUAUUACUACUAUAGAUCGAUGUGUCAUAUUCUAAUGACCUAUCAUCGUAUGUUGCAACACUUAGACUUAGGUCUCUUAGAGUUAAAUUCUAAAACAGACUAUGCCUUCCUUCAUGUUCUAAUGUGAUAUAAUCACACUUUAACAUUAGGCAUUUCUAGCCACCAACUUCUUUAACAACGAGUGCGAUACUUCUAUUGAUCGCUUUGAUUUCAACCGUUUGGUUUAAGUCGGACGCUACAUCAAACUUGGUCCUCUGAGCCACACAACAUACUCAUCGUAGUCGGACUCGAUUCGAUAUGACCACUAGGGUCGGAAUAUCAACAAUCUUCUUAGUCAUUACCGAAACGAUGGUAACAACACACUUGAAUAAAACGAAAUCAAUUACUAGCUUCUUGGUAACCUUGUGACUUUCCCUGAUCCAAGUGUGAGUCCUGUGCUUCCGGUAGUAUAGGCCUCUACUACCAUUCACACCUACUCAUACUCGUCCCAAGUAUUGUCUCGCAGUUUCCCAAGUCACCAUGCAGCAAAUCAUACAAUCAUUCAACACAUCAGAUAACAAAACGAAGGUUUUAUAUUAAUUCUUGAAACGAUUACAUAGGUGUUCAAGUUCACCCUAGACUAUGCCUCUACUAGGCUACAUCAUACGAAACUAUGGCUACUGCAUAAUCCGAUCUUCGGGUAAGAAGUCCUCAUUCUUGAUUCCUCGCAUGGUUCUCUGCUUCGUCGAGGAUCAUGUGAAAUGCCCUUGGCCUUGGUGGCGUUUCUGGUCUUGCUGCUUUAUUUUUCCUUGGGCAGUCUCUGGACAUGUGCCCCUUGCCUCCACAUCCGUAGCAUACUUUGUCAUUAUGUGUGCAGUCUUUGGAAUAGGGAGCCGUCCUCCCACACUUGUAACAAGUCACUUUUUCGUUGCACUUCCCACCAUGCUUCUUCUUGCAUUUAUCACACCAUCUCGCUUCACCUCUUUCUCCUCCUCCAAGAUUUGAGAAUUUGAUCUCCUUGUUGGACCUUGAAGAUCCUUCAAACUUCCGCUUCUCUCCUGCCUUAUCUUUUUCUAGACCCUUUUCUCUUAUCUGGGCCUCUACGUUCUUAGCUGCCCUAACAGCUGCUUUCAAGGUAGUUGCCAUUUUGACCAUUGGGCCAAAGUCAGUGGGCAGUCCGUUAGCAAACCUAUCAAUCUUGGAGAGUUCAGUAGGCACCAAGUAGGGAAAUAGCUUCAUCCUCUCGGUAAAUGCGGUGGCAUACUCAUCAACACUCAUCUUCCCUUUCUUCAGGUUCUGAAACUCGUUGUUUAGGUCUAUCAGAUCUACCUCCGAGCAGUACUGCAUUUUCAACUGUUCCAAAAACUCUUCCCACGACAUCCUUAAGGCUUCUCCUCGUGGCAUCGUAUCUGCCAAUAGCUUCCACCAGCUCAAGACUCCAGUUUUCAGUUGUCUUACAGCGAAGACAGUCUUCUGUUUCUCGUUACAGCUGCAGCUCUCAAACACCAUCUCCAUCUCAGAGAUCCAAUCCAUAAUCUCAACCGGCUUCGGGCUUCCUGAGAGACUUGGUGGUUUCGCACCCAAGAAAUUCUUGUACAUCCGCCCAUCCUUGUUGUUUCUCCCUUCUGGGCCAUCCCUUUGCUCACCUUGAGUCCCAACUUGACUCACUUGGCGGCUGUAGUUCCCUUCCUCAGAUUGCUCGGGAAUCAGUUCGGGUUGCUCAAUGGGCAUAGUAGGUUCGUCCCUAUUCAACAUCCGUCUCAUUUCUUCCCUUUGUUCAGCCAACAUAGCCCGAAUCAUGGCUUGAACUCCAGCCAUGGUGACUGGCUCAGGCGCAACUUCUUCUACAACAGGUAUUUGCUGAACCACUGGGGGUUGGUUCCUGUUCCCAUUUGCGUUUACGUUUCCGCUACGGGUCCUUACCAUCUCGAUCUAUACACCGAAUAAGGUGAAUUUAGACCUUUACUUGACGUUUAAAUCAUCCUUAUCACUCCGAAACGUUUACAUGCUAGUUCUAAUACCGUAGUCGUACGUUUAGAAUCCUAAACACAUAAGGUUUCCAGAUCCGGUCGGCAACAGACCAUAGAUCCGAACAAUUAACAACAUAUCAUGCACAAAGCAUUUAGCACAUAAAAGCAUUUUAGGCAUAAUUCCUAAAAUAAGCUAGUGCUCACACCUCACAAUCAUCGCUUAGCAUUCUAAGUUUAAGUCUAGAAAUAAAUCCAUAUUCCUAGUUCGCUUAAACUAAUGCUCUGAUACCAACUGUGACAUCCCCAAAAUCACGGCCAGAAAAGACCGAUUUUGUUUAUGCUUUAUAAAAAUCAGAGUACUUCAUUUUAUAAAAAGGUUGCGGAAUUUGUUCCCAGAAAAACAUGGUAAAUACGUUAUUAAAACAUUUUCGAAGAAACGUAUUUAUUUCAUUUUAAAAUGUUUGGGAUGUCAUCGUUAAUACCGAAACAUAAGCAUAAACAGAACUUACAAUGAUUUACACUAGUGAUCUACAUCUCUUUUAAAUCUCUCAGUGUAAUGUCACUUCACUUCGUCACCUGUGAUAUACAUAAACUGAGUGGGUCAGGUUGGGAAACCUGGUGAGUACAUAGGGUUUUCAACCCACAAUAAUAUAAUUAUUAUGUUCAAUCAAACAAUCAACCCAAUUACCCAUCCCCAUUAUCUUCUUUACUCUUUAAGGAUUUAACCUAAGAGUCAUCUAUCCUGCAUUCGUUUAUUCCGAAGUCCCUUACUUCCAGGGUUAUGGGACUGGCACUAAAUCCAUAGCUGCCAAUGUUCGUUCAUAAAGCACUAAUUCCAUAGCUGCUAUAGUCUAUUCAUCGGGUACUAAAUCCAUAGCUACCAGUCUUUAUCUAAUAGGUACUAAGUCCAUAGCUACCAAUGUUCAACAGGUACUAAGUCCAUAGCUACCAAUUCCUACAGGUACUAAAUCCAUAGCUACCAACGUCUAAAAGGUACUAAGUCCAUAGCUACCGGUGUUUGUCCCAUAGGCACUAAGUCUGUAGCUGCCAAUGUAUACUCACGUCAUCUUCUAUCUCUCAUCAUUCAUCUACCCAUCUCAUACCCAACAUUUUCGUAUAUAUAAAAUACGUAUACAGUUUAAGUCCUUUAAAACAUGUAUAAAACGUUCAACCAGCAUAGACAGCAAGUAUUCAGAUAAUGUGCACACAUAGCACGUAGUUUAUAUAAAAUACUUCAUAUCUAUGUGUAAGAUGAAAGUAACUAUGCACUCACUUGAGAAGGUGGUGACUCGGUACUCGGACAGCGCUUCGUUUACUUUAAAAUAAUUUCCUUCGACGAAACCUAGUAUUAUUACCACUAGAUUUUAGUCUAAUAUUUACCGUGACUAAUUAUUAGUCUUAUUAUUAUUAUUAUAUAAGCGUUUAAACAAUACUUUCCAACCACUAUGUACAGACAGGGGCCAGACAUAAAACACCGGAGGGCAGGACCAUUUUGGCAUAUAGCACUUCUGAAAUCCAACAACCCUAUGCGGCCCUUUAAACCAGAUUCCCCGUACCGCGAGUAGUUAAAAAGAUAUUAUAACGACACUUAUAUAAGUCAUAAUAAUAGCUCAAAUAUUUAUUAUAAAUUUAUAAUAACAAUACUAAUUUUAAAUAUAAACUAUAUUUAAAAUAGGGUAAGCAUAACUUACUUACAAGGGGAUUUUAGCUAGGAGUCGGGCUCUGUAGGGGCAGAACUUCGUCGCUGAAUCUUUCUAAGAAAGAUUCGUGCAGCGCUUCAGCGCUCACCUUACUAUACUAAAACUACAGAAAGAGAAGUCGAAUCACGAGGGACCGAAAUGCUCGGGGGAUAAGGAGAGAAAGACUCUUGAAUCAAGAGAAUGGUGCAAGAAAUAUGAGAGCCCAAGCCUCUUAUUUAUAGUAAUUGAAUUUACAAAAACUACCCCCCAUAAUUACUUAAUGACCUUAUAGUUAUAUAAACAACUAAACACCCCUUUAUAAUACUAUUUUAAAUAGAUUUAAUGAUAUUUGUACUAAACUAAUGUCGAAAGAACUCAACAUUAGUCUUAUAAUGACCGCAUCGUCGAUACCUUUCUAAUGAUAUAUACAUAUGUAUAUAUAUGUGUACGUAUAUAUGAUUUAUACUUUAUUUUAAUACGUAAAUAUGCUAUUAUAAUUUGUAACUCGUUCAUACGAACUCCGUUUUUGACGUUCUUUAUAUCCAUGCGUAGGUGGAGACGCACUCUACAACUUUCGUUUAGACUCCUUCGGCUAAUUUUGAAUUUAUUUUUAAAGUUAUAUUUUUAACAGGCCGGGACAGGAUUGGUCCGUUAUAAUCUCAUAACUUCUUCAUCCGAUGUCCAUUUUCGUUUGUCUUUUUAUUGUUACGCUACUAAUAAUGAGAUCUUCAAUUCUCGUUUAGGUUGUGUCGGCUAAAAAUCGCUCGAUCUAAUAUUCGAAUUUCAGACUGUACACUGCUAAUCCGAAACUUCGAAAAAUCGUAACUUCUUCAUACGAAGUCAGAUUUGGGCGUUCUUUUUAUCGAAGUUCUUAGUUUAACAUAUUCUACGACUUUCGUUUAGAGCGCUAAAUCUAAAUCUCGCUCUAUCAUAAAUUUACUAUUUACACUUCCCGGCGCCGUGCCGGUUCCGACGCGAAACUUCGACAGGUCAUAACUUCUUCGUUAUAACUCGGAUUUCGGCGUUCUUUAUAUGUAUGGAAACCCUGUGACAUCUUCUACAACUUGGUUAAGAUUAUUUAUUCUAAAUAAUCUUUUUUUCGAAAAGUCGUUUUCGACCCCUAUUGCCUCUAAAUUGACUAGCCCGGAUCUGCGGGCGUUACACUAUAGUUUGUCUGGGACAAAGUGGUUGUAGUGUUCAUGAGUGCUCCUGGAAUAACAUUCGAGUAUUGGAUUCAACCCACGCUCAUUUGAAUCCUAUCUAUUCAAAAUAAUGUCGAUAGGGUCCAUCCAUUACUAUACUUCCAACUGCUCACAAGCGACAAAUC